GACGAACGCUGGCGGCGUGCUUAACACAUGCAAGUCGAACGGAAAGGCUCCAGCUUGCUGGAGUACUCGAGUGGCGAACGGGUGAGUAACACGUGGGUAAUCUGCCCUGCACUCUGGGAUAAGCCUGGGAAACUGGGUCUAAUACUGGAUAUGACCUUUCUCCUUAUGGGGUUUGGUGGAAAGUUUUUCGGUGUAGGAUGAGCCCGCGGCCUAUCAGCUUGUUGGUGGGGUGAUGGCCUACCAAGGCGACGACGGGUAGCCGGCCUGAGAGGGUGAUCGGCCACAUUGGGACUGAGAUACGGCCCAGACUCCUACGGGAGGCAGCAGUGGGGGAUAUUGCACAAUGGGCGGAAGCCUGAUGCAGCGACGCCGCGUGAGGGAUGACGGCCUUCGGGUUGUAAACCUCUUUCAGCAGGGACGAAGCGUAAGUGACGGUACCUGCAGAAGAAGCACCGGCUAACUAUGUG
rnacentral:rRNA from 1 species